rnacentral:rRNA from 1 species
UCCCGAGCGUUNUCCGGAUUUAUUGGGCGUAAAGCGAGCGCAGGCGGUUAGAUAAGUNUGAAGUUAAAGGCUGUGGCUUANCCAUAGUACGCUUUGGAAACUGUUUAACUUGAGUGCAGAAGGGGAGAGUGGAAUUCCAUGUGUAGCGGUGAAAUGCGUAGAUAUAUGGAGGAACACCGGUGGCGAAAGCGGCUCUCUGGUCUGUAACUGACGCUGAGGCUCGAAAGCGUGGGGAGCGAACAGGAUUAGAUACCCUGGUAGUCCACGCCGUAAACGAUGAGUGCUAGGUGUUAGGCCCUUUCCGGGGCUUAGUGCCGCAGCUAACGCAUUAAGCACUCCGCCUGGGGAGUACGACCGCAAGGUUGAAACUCAAAGGAAUUGACGGGGGCCCGCACAAGCGGUGGAGCAUGUGGUUUAAUUCGAAGCAACGCGAAGAACCUUACCAGGUCUUGACAUCCCGAUGCCCGCUCUAGAGAUAGAGUUUUACUUCGGUACAUCGGUGACAGGUGGUGCAUGGUUGUCGUCAGCUCGUGUCGUGAGAUGUUGGGUUAAGUCCCGCAACGAGCGCAACCCUUAUUGUUAGUUGCCGUCAUUCAGUUGGGCACUCUAGCGAGACUGCCGGUAAUAAACCGGAGGAAGGUGGGGAUGACGUCAAAUCAUCAUGCCCCUUAUGACCUGGGCUACACACGUGCUACAAUGGCUGGUACAACGAGUCGCAAGUCGGUGACGGCAAGCUAAUCUCUUAAAGCCAGUCUCAGUUCGGAUUGUAGGCUGCAACUCGCCUACAUGAAGUCGGAAUCGCUAGUAAUCGCGGAUCAGCACGCCGCGGUGAAUACGUUCCCGGGCCUUGUACACACCGCCCGUCACACCACGAGAGUUUGUAACACCCGAAGUCGGUGAGGUAACCUUUUAGGA